rnacentral:rRNA from 1 species
UACGAAGGGGGCUAGCGUUGUUCGGAAUCACUGGGCGUAAAGCGCACGUAGGCGGAUUCUUAAGUCAGGGGUGAAAUCCUGGAGCUCAACUCCAGAACUGCCUUUGAUACUGGCGAUCUUGAGUCCGGGAGAGGUGAGUGGAACUGCGAGUGUAGAGGUGAAAUUCGUAGAUAUUCGCAAGAACACCAGUGGCGAAGGCGGCUCACUGGCCCGGUACUGACGCUGAGGUGCGAAAGCGUGGGGAGCAAACAGG